rnacentral:rRNA from 1 species
AGCUUGCGCGUGCUAUACAUGCAGUCGAGCGGACGGAUGGGAGCUUGCUCCCUGAAGUCAGCGGCGGACGGGUGAGUAACACGUGGGCAACCUGCCUGUAAGACUGGGAUAACUCCGGGAAACCGGGGCUAAUACCGGAUAACUCUUUUCCUCACAUGAGGAAAAGCUGAAAGAUGGUUUCGGCUAUCACUUACAGAUGGGCCCGCGGCGCAUUAGCUAGUUGGUGAGGUAACGGCUCACCAAGGCCACGAUGCGUAGCCGACCUGAGAGGGUGAUCGGCCACACUGGGACUGAGACACGGCCCAGACUCCUACGGGAGGCAGCAGUAGGGAAUCUUCCGCAAUGGACGAAAGUCUGACGGAGCAACGCCGCGUGAGUGAUGAAGGUUUUCGGAUCGUAAAACUCUGUUGUCAGGGAAGAACAAGUACCGGAGUAACUGCCGGUACCUUGACGGUACCUGACCAGAAAGCCACGGCUAACUACGUGCCAGCAGCCGCGGUAAU